rnacentral:ncRNA from 1 species
AUCGACAGCACCUUGGCGAUGUAAGGGAUCAGUGGAAGAUUGAGGACCAAAAGCACGAGGUUGCCGAUGAACAUCGACAUAAUAACGGCCCAAAAAAUCUGGGGUUCAUCGAUCAUCAGCCUUGGCCC